CCUACGGGAGGCAGCAGUGAGGAAUAUUGGUCAAUGGGCGAGAGCCUGAACCAGCCAAGUCGCGUGAGGGAGUACUGCCCUAUGGGUUGUAAACCUCUUUUGUCGGGGAGCAACAGCCGGACGUGUCCGGCUGUGAGAGUACCCGACGAAAAAGCAUCGGCUAACUCCGUGCCAGCAGCCGCGGUAAUACGGAGGAUGCGAGCGUUAUCCGGAUUUAUUGGGUUUAAAGGGUGCGCAGGCGGAUUUUUAAGUAAGCGGUAAAAUCGUGGGGCUCAACCCCAUCCAGCCGUUGAAACUGGGGAUCUAGAGUGUGCGAGAGGUAUGCGGAAUGCGUGGUGUAGCGGUGAAAUGCAUAGAUAUCACGCAGAACCCCGAUUGCGAAGGCAGCAUACCGGUGCACAACUGACGCUCAGGCACGAAAGCGUGGGUAUCGAACAGGAUUAGAUAUCCCGGUAGUC
rnacentral:rRNA from 1 species